CAUAACCCCCAGAUGAACUAAAGCAGGGGGCAGGGGAGGUUGAAGGCGGGGUAAUAACCGGAAACGUGCACACAGACUAGCUGGGCACUCAGCUUGCAGAUGUUGAGGCUGACUGCGACAACUUGUCACCUGCCUCUUUUUUUGCAUUUUGCUCCCAAAUGGGCUGGACGCACACCACUUGGUCCCAAACGCUGUAUAUGUGACACAGAUUAAGUUAUCUCCAGUCCCCUCUGAGAGAUUUUGCUUUCUCCAGAAGGGAGAAAUUGCACAUAGGAUUCAGGGAGUAGGACCACACCGGUGAUGCCAGCUUUGCGUGGCCCAGACAGAGACUAUAGGAACCAUUAGACUCUCAAUCUGAUUAAGGCUUGAACUUUCUCCCAAUAUAAAUCCAGCCAUUGCAUAGCCACCAGUUGUCUUGAGACCCAUUUUUGGUUCAGAGAGUCUUCUGCUGCAAGUUAAAAUGGCUGGGCACUGAUUGAAAUGUAAAGCGAUGCACAUGGGCAUAAGUUGAGGGUGUCUGUCUAAAUUUUGGUGAUUCGCCUUUGUGUCAAUUACAGCAUGAGUUAGAUAGAGGUACAGAUCUGGGUAUUUCAGGAAAAGGGCUAAGCCCUCAGGGGGAAUAUAUGUAAUCAUGCUCUGAAUGUCCCAGAUCAACUCUGUAUGAAUUUGGAAAUGUUUGCAUAAAGCAUUUAAUUGGCCUAUUACAGACAUUAAAAAAUCUUAUUGUGAUUUUAUGUAAAUUUAGUUUUAAAAACUCCCUAAAUGCAUAUUGUCACAUUGCAGUCCCAGUUUAUGGUGCAAAUUCUCAUAAACCUCUCCAAGAGCAUUUUCCUUCAAGAUUCACUCAAACACAGUUGCCACCUUCCAGAGGUAUGAAAAAUGUUGGACUCCCCUUUGAGCACAGACUGGAGUGUUCUUAUCAGUUCCUGUGCACCAGCCCUGUGCUAGAAGCUGGCUGUGUUUUCAGUAAUCCACUUAAACCAAAGCAUUUCUCAACCUCCAUCAGUAUAUACUGUAUGCCGUAUACACUCCUCUCUCCUUGUAGCUGUCAAGCUGCAGGUGCCAAGGAGUUGCUGUUUGCUUAGAAAGUUGGCUCUGUACACUGAACUCUCCUGUUAGUUUUUGAUGACUAACUUUCAAUAUGAAAAGAAGCUUAAAAGCCAUUAAAUGCAGAUUUAAUGUUACUAUUCAACCCUGUCACAAUCCAGGCGUGACUUGGCAAGCUGGCCUGUGCCUCACUUGCAUCUCUCUCCUCGCACGAGUGCCGUGGCUCUUCUCCCACAUGGGCACCUUCUGACCAGUCUCUCUCAUCCAGGGUCUGGGAGUAGGAGAGGGGCUUGCAGGAUUUGGAGGCCUCGGGGAGGGCUGUCCUCAGGUCCCCAGUAGUCUCUGACUGCAGCCUGGCAUCACAGCCCCUCUCUGUCACAUGAGGUGAUAUGGCGCCUGUUACCCAGUAAGUGAGGAGUCUACAAGUGGAUUUCAGAAGCCUGAUAUUUCCAUAUAAGCAUUGCUUUUAUUUCCACAGACAUGUCAUGCGGUAAGGAUUGUGCUACAGCUGCACUUUGGAUGUUCAGAUAACCCAUGAAAGUGGUAGAAAGUUUUUGGGUGGAAGGCAUCUAUCUUACCUGGAUAUCCUCAGUGAAGGAGUAACUUCGUCACCAGAAGUCAACAUGGAAGUUGAAGUAACCCCCAUUUUGGUUCACAGAUUUGUCCCAGACAGGUUUAUUAACAAAAGCUCACAUCCUGCCUUUUUUAGUACUAUAAGCUUCCCUGUUAGGGCCCAAAUGCAGCUUAAUCAAGAUUUCCUGGACAACCAAAAUAUAUAAAACAAGACUAAGCCAGUCGUUUCUUUCCAUUUCCUUGUUCAUAGUUCCCAGUUCCCUAUUGCAGAUGGAAGUUUAUUACUUACUUCUAGAUUGAAACUGUGAAUAUUUAACCUCAGCCUUACUGAGGUAAGAAAGAGCCCACUUUGAAGUGCUGCAGAUUAAAGCUGUAAAUAAUUAACUCCAGCCUGACAGGGUAAGGAAGGGUCAACUAAUUUCAGUUUGCUACUCAGAAAGGCAAGAUACUGAAACACUGAAUAUUUUAUUUUCUUUCUGAGCCUUAAAAAAAGAUACCCACAACACAAACAAGCUAGUACCUCUUGUAUCUCAAGGCCUCCUAGUGAAGACGAGCUAAGCGUUUCUUGCUGCAGUUUUAGGUACAGCAUUUUAAAACAGUUCAUAAAAACUAUUGAGUAUGAAUGAUCUCUCUUUAGUAUUCCAACCAUUUCUCAGCUUGCAGUAUCAUAUUUCUGUCAAAAUCCCAUAAGAACUGCAGCGUUAUUCUUAUACGAAGAACACUUUCAAGCUUCCACAAAACUUGCAUUGUUACUAAAAACUGUCAUUUCACUGGACGCAACAUACACUUUUAACCCCAAAUCGUUCUACCUACAGCCAAGAACUGCUGAUAUGCCCAGUAAAGCCAUUAUUUUGAUUAAUUUAUUAGCUCCAGUGUUGCUUUGUUUAAGAAUCCCACAACAAGCUACUUCCCAGAUCCAUUGACUCCGAAUUAAGUAAGGCCUAUACAGCUGCACUAACACAACGUAAUGUUCGUGCCUAUGUGAAGCUGACAUAUGUGGCUUAGGGUGAAGACAUCUCACCUUACUUCAGCUGUCUAAAAGUUAGCCUUGGAGUUAAGUUCCAGGAGAUGGCUGAGACAACCUAGCACCUUUCCUGCCAUCUAAAGGAGCAGUCUCAUUUGUUUGACUGUGGUGGGUUAGUCCCAGAUCAGGUUCAGGGACCAAAGGAUGGAGGACGAAGGCUGGAUGAACAGAUCUGCCAUUACGGUGGCAGCAAGCUAUCAGGGCACCUACAUUCCCUCAGUCACCUAAGGAUGGAGAGGAGUCUACAUAUUUUAAAAACCGCUAGAUACAUGAGCUGACAACAGAGAGCAUAGUUAGCCCAGACAUCUACUUUUUAGGUAUCUGAUGUUAGAUGACAUGAAUCCUAAAGAAUGUAUACAUCAUAUAACGUAAGCUACAAGAUGCUUUACUGACUGGCAGUCAUUACUGCCUGUGAUUUUUGUUUGGAACGAAAUAAGGCAAUCGGGUCCAUACAAUGCUGAUAUUGCCUUGACAAAACUAUUAAUGACAUAACUGGAAUAAGUAGUUUGACCAAAAUAAAACCAUUGAUGACUUGGAGUAAUUUUUGUCAUAACUACUUUCAAAAGAAAAAUAGGAAAUCUGCAUUAAAAAGUUGAUGCGUCCCAUUUUGACAUUUUUGGUGAUAGAGAUCCUUUUUUUGUUUUGAAGUAGCCAAUUUGUUUUGAAAUGUUUUUGUUCUCUCCAUGUUACAUAUGAAAGCAAAACAUGGGAGCAACAUACAACACUUUGAUUUCGCUGCAGUGAAGGAAGAGGUUUAUUUUCAGGGAAAUUUUGGCAUUUCAGUUCAAGUCAAAGUAAAAUUUUGUAACCCCGUAUUAUUUGCAACCCAAAACUUCUGGUCCCUGCAGCGCUCUGUUCACAAAGCUGACAUUUGCGGGCUAAUUUUCAAAUCGAGGGUGCUUGGCAUGGAGUAUUGGCCUUUCAGCAUUCUUGAUAAAAGUUUUGCCCCUCUGGUGCACCAUUCGCUGAAGAACACAUAGUCCUUUUUGGGAUAAUGUUAAACUGUUGUGCCUUGUAUCACUGCUUGCAUCAUAUUUCUCUCAAUGUAGGUUAUCAUAGAGCACAGAAUUGCAGCUACUAUUAAAUGCAGUUUUCUUCUUUUGCAUAAUCACUGGUUUCCACUUGUUACUAAUAAUUUGCACCAUUAUGAGAACACACGCAGCCUCAAGCAAGGACAUUUACAAAAGGUUACAUUCAUUGCAAGAUGUUUUGAAAGACUCAUAAAAAGUGUUUGGACUUAACACAGCAUUAUGCUUAUCUCACAGAUAUAAUCAAAUUAAAACAUCUGUUGUGUGUAAUCAUCCAUCAGAAGGAGGCAAUCAACUUGUUAUCAACUCCUGCAUACAUCAGAGGCAACAAGAAUAAUGUUAUCUUCAAGAUUUAUCUUAGUAAUGCUUUCUGUACAAAUCUCCUGAAUGACACUUGGCAAAACAAAGUUUUGAAACAUUAUUCAAAUUAGCACUAGACUCUCAGGGCACUGCUGCUCACCCGAUCUCUGACUUUUAGCUAUAAUGCAAAUCAACCAUUUUUAAGCUUCACUGAAUUGGCUUGUUCUGUGUUUACUGUGUAUGUAUAAAUACCCCCAAUAGUGAAAGCAGAAGUACGUUAGUGUCAGAAGAGAUACUGUUCCCGCAGGAAGUGCCAUUAAUCUCACCACGCAACAUUUUACAUGAAGAAUUCCACUUUAUUUUUCCAAAAGCAAAGGACAUUUGGAGAAUUUUAUACUGUUUUCUUCAGUUUCUUCCACUUCUCACAAUGGGUAUCGGAGCUGGGGAAAAACCUUGCACUUUUCCAUAAGCAUGUUCUAUGUUUUGUCUUAACUCUUUUACAUGUACAAAGAACUAGUAAAACUUAGACUAGACGAAGUGGCAUUUUUAAAAGAUGUGGAACCAAAUUAUUACAGAUAUACUUGGGAGAUAAUUUAAGUUGCUCAAAAACAUGGUUACCUGUGGAACCUGCCUCCGUUACCACAUAAUUUGUAGUAUUUAUUAUCAUCAAAGCUUGUUAUUUCAGGCUCUUCAUUAGAAAGAAUUUGAACACUGGAUGCCAAGCUCCAGAAAAUAUCUGAACCUACCAAAGAACCUAAGUAGCAUAACACAGAGGCCCUUCUGUUUCAUUGCUCCCACUGGAACAAAAGGGAGUUGUGAAUCUAUGAUAGAGUAUAUCCCUAAAUCUAAUCUGAAAGAAUCCCAGUACUUCAACCACAAAGCCCCAGAACUGAGGAAAGUAUCCUCCCACCCCACCAAGUAGAUCAUGUCUGUUUUAUUCAGGAAUGCAGUACACUGAUGAUGCUAAACUGACUCAUUUGACCAAGAUCUUUAAACAAAUUUAUUUGUGAUAGCACAGCUGUUCCUCUCAGAAAGGAAAUGCAUGGUUCCAUAAUUUUUAUCUGGAAGGCAACUUUAUGAUCUGUGGUCACAGGAGGUGGCUACUGUGCUUUAGAGGUCAGAAGCAAGCAGUACAGGAGGAUCCAGAAUGCCUUGGGAGUUGGAUAUUGUUCCAACAGAGCUAACCCUGGAACAAAUGGGCUAACUGUGGCUUGCAGAUAACCUAGCUAAUAUAAUUCACUUUUGCUGUUUUCCUUUUCUGUGACCAAGAUCAUCACCAAACUAGCCUGUGAGCCCCAUUUUCAGGCUGUGCACACACAGCCUCCCACAACUUCCAGAUGGUAUGACUUGUCCCCACUUGGAAGAUGCUCUCCGUGCCAUCCUACCAGCCCUGAAUGUUGGGCAGGCAUUUCCCUUCACAUCUCUAGGCAAGACUAGCUGGGCUGCCAUCAAUAGUUUCAAUUCUUGGCUGGAGCUGUCUAAUACAGGGCAGUGAAAAUUACAUAGUGCUCACCUGAAAUUCUGAAUAGGUGUGAAGGAUACCAAUUCCAUCUGGUAGAUGGGGACUAGCCUUGGGGCCAUUAAGGACUUCUGCAAGGAUCAGGGAGAGGUGGUUAAUCCACAGCCUCAGUGAUAUUCAAGGCUCCCUGCCUCACUAUAGCAAUAUAGGGGCUAUUAGAGAAAGCUUUAGUGCAAUUUACACCCAUUUUAUUACCUUUUUACAAUAUUAAAGUGUUAUAAAUAGUCCUUAAUGUAACUGAGAAUGAGAUGCUUUGCAGUUAAUAAAAGAUGCAUGAUUGACUCCACUGUCUAUGGAGAAAUAACACUGCAUUUUCUGUCAAUUUGGCAUUUCUGGAGUGUCAAUUCCCCAGGUUCUACAUCCAGAUAUUGACUGCAGUGAGGGAACAAAUGAGCAUUGCUGGUUUAAAGUCAGUCUUCCCUUCUAUACAAAGGUGCAUAACAUUUCUUGCUCGACUUUGCCCUGUCUGUAAGAACAUUUUCUUGUCUCUGGUGACCUAUGGCUGGAGAAAGUGAUUUGGCAAUUCUCCUGCCUGCUACAAAUUGAGGUGCAAUUGAGACUGAUGAGGGAUGAGUGUAAGUGAGCAUUUGUUGCAUCUUCACAUGCUUUGAAGUAUAGAUACGGACACAUCUUGUCCAGUGCUGACACAGUUUGAUCUCUGAAUCAUGCAGCAGUUGGAAACCUCCUGUCCUGAGGGACUGCUGCCCAUCUAAUACAAAAACUGCUUAGAAAUUGAGGAGUUGGUAGGCUUUAUGGUGAGGCAAACAGGGCAGCCAGGCAACGGGGUGGGACAUUGUACAGAAAAGUGUAGUGAUGCUUAGUAGCGAGUGAGGAGGUCCUGUUGAAGUCAGGAUGAUUUUUCUGAAGAGCUUUUACAGUAUUUGCUAUUUGAUGCAUGUAUUUGCUUGCCGUAAAUAUUAGCCUGGUUUCCAUCUCUACCUUUUUUUGGAUGAUUUUUUUACUGUAAUUCAAAAAUAAGACAAGAUAAAAAAGUCAAUUUCGGUAAUCUCCAUCACAAAUGAAAAGUAAUUUACAGCUGUCUGCAUGACGUUACUCUUGUAUGAUUUCAAUGUUUUCCCUUUAAAGGACAUGCUGUUCUGAAUUGGCACGUCUGUCUUUUCUUCAUUUUGUUGCCUUUUGUGCCUCCUUUCUUUGGGUUCCUUAUUCUUAUUUCUCCUAUUCUCUGCUAUCUCUUGCCUUCUUUUCUUUCAGAUUAUUUGUUCUGUGUUAAUCUAUCGCCAUUGACUUUUCCUCUGGCUGUCAAUUACAGACUGCUAUUUAAAAAAUAAAUCUUUUUUUACCAUCUUUGCAAUUACUGUUGUUUCAAACUAUGGUACUGUUAGACUUAAGCUGCUUGUUCAAAAGCGUUUCUGCUGUGUGUUUGUGUGCACGCACUAACAUUUCAUUCAGAAGAAAUUCCUAUUAGUUUCACAACUAGCAACAACCACACUCAGUUAAUGUAUCAGUGGUAAAACUUCUGGGUCUAAUAUAGUCUCUUUUAAUCAAAGCCCAGAUUAAAGGGUGUUGUGAAAUGGGACUGGCAUAAUAUACUUUACAGCUCUUUUAUUUGCCCUGUUAACCACAAUGAAGAGUCCCAGCCCCGGCUGGCCUCCGUUCGAUUACUGACCAUUUCUUCUAGCUCUUCUCAGAUGUGCUGAUAAGCUGAUAGGUAAAGCCUUGCAAAAAGCCAUGGCAGUGAGGUCCACUUUUUCUACCAGUGCAAUCACAUACAUGUGUGUGGUGCUGGCAGGGUGCAGCUGAACAGGGGCUGGCUUUGCAGAAUGAGCUCGGCCUCCUGUGCAGAACCUGUUUCCACUCCUCUCGGAUCCACUCAUGAAGCACAGUGACAUAUCAGGGAGUAAAGAUCCUAUUUUUGCUUCAAAAAAUGUGCUUCAUUUGCAGCAAGGACAUAAACUGACUCAUGUGAGCACUGAACAUCUUUCGGUGCUCUCCCACAGUUUGCCCAGGCUGUGAGCUCUUCCACCCUUCCAGGGACUGAAUCAUUAGCUCAGAUGAAUGCUGCACUGAGCCGCACUCCCAGACUUGCUUGACACACUCUCCCUGGGAGACCCAGAGGAGACAAGGGUGGAUUAGGCUAAUUUACGCACUCAGAUCCAGGUCACCAGAGCCUGUGCUCACUGCAGUGAAGACCUAUCUUCCAUGUAACCAAAUGGGAUGCUAAAACACCAGCAGACUUUUACCAUAACCCAGAGCUGCAGCAGGAUGUUUCACUCUCAGAACAUCUCCUUUCUGUCUUGCCUUCCCCCUGCCAUCAGCACAUUCUCUCACCUGCUCCUUCCAGUUCCUGAGUCCUCUCUUUCAGCCCUCCCGCUGCUAUUUCUGCCUCUCUGAGUUCCUGCCAGCUGCCACUGCCUGCUCGCCCCCCUCAGCCCAUUGCCCGGCUUGGGGCAGCAGCCCCGGCUGGCGGGGUUUGACGUACUUGCUUUGGUUUGCCGUGCCCCUGGAAGGAACGCUUGGGGUACAUGUCCCUGCCCAUCCUGUACAGAUCACCCUCAUGGCUCUUGCAGAAGCUUUUACAUGGUAUUUCAUGCGAAGUUUCUUAAAACUAAUAAAAGUUUAAAAAAAAAAAAAGCAAUCUAAACCAGCUACUAGGUCAUUGUUGAAUUUCUUUCCUUACUUAGCUGCAGCGGGCAAAACAAUUUAAAAGGUAAACACAAUUUUUACCACUGAAUUGCCUUUAAUACUGUGAUUAAAGUUUGCUGGUGCCACAGUCAUAUAAUCACUGACAAGAGGCUUUUAAUCACUGCCUUUGUACACAGAAAAAUGUGGAGUAAGUGCUGUCUUGGACCCUUUAAGAACUUGGAUAUCUAGCUGCUGCUUAUUGAUCAGUUUUGAUGUUGUUCAUCCUCUUGGGUGUUGGUGAGAACAAUAAGAAUCUGGCAAAGAACGAAUUUACACAGACAGCUCAAGUAUUGCUCCUUCCCUCCCCCAUACCAAACCAGACAUGGCUGUCAGCCCAAUCAUUUAGUACACAGGCUCCAAAAUCAUCAGUCAUGAUGCAGAACAUCUCCUGAAAGUCACAAUUCCUUCCAAAUGGUGCCAGCUGCGGUUGUGUUGCAUGAUACAGCUGGAGCAUGGAGCCAAGCUCUGUUGCUGUCCUGUUUUCUGCUUACUGUCCACCCACCUGAUGGCAAAGGAAGCCAUGCCUUUGAAGGGCCUUCACUGGCAACAAGAAGGCAGGCAACUCAUGGAGGUGAUGAAGGGAGCAAGGUAGCAUUUAGCCUGUUCUACACAGACACGUAGACCUUCACCUCACUGAACUGCAGUCAAGAAGCCAUAAGUGUAACUUAUAAUCUUCCACUGGAGAUGACCUGAGUCUUUUUUCCUCCUGCUAUUUUUUGUAAAAAACUUUUUUUUUUGUUUUUGUUUUUGCAUUGGAAUAAACCACUCAAGCUACAGUUUAUCACAGUUGCACCACGCAUGCCAACAGCCUGCUCCUCUCUCCAGGGAGCCAUACGAGCAAGAAUCAGAGGGGACCCAAUGGUUCUCAUCGACUAAGAGGCGCACUACUCCCUGUGAAGUGCUUGAAGAUCCUCAGCUGGAAUGUGUGAUGGAGAAAGAGACCCCUGGAAAGCACAGGUGCAAACAUCAUUCUCUUUGUGGUGGUCAUGUUGAUGACUCUUAAGAAGACAUCUGCAGCAUCAAAUGUGAUUCAUCUGGAGCAUGCUAACAUCACCACUUACCACUUGUAACUCACUGCCAAUCAUAGACCCGCAAUGUGAGCUUCCAGGUGUGAAAGAAGCGGUGACAACUGAGAACUGGCAGGUGCUGAUAGAGUGUGUAAGCCAAUAUGCGAUAAGCAGGAACCAGUGUGAACUUUGGUUUCAAAGCCUAACGCGUAUUUUGCAAAGGCUGCAUUUGCAGACCUAAACAGGAAUUAGAGGUUGUUUUGCAGCAGCCACAGAAUAACCUUCUGCUAUCGUGCUACAAAGGAUGCACACUACUCUCAGCUUUUGCAAACCAAUUCACCGCAGAGACUUCCUUGUGGGCUUACCCCUGCCGUGUUGAUACUGUUCUGCACAGGCAGCUAGGCUGCUCAGAGUACGCAGCUGGUGGGGGACUUUCUGCUUCCUUUUACAGCAGGCAGCUAUUUCUGGCCUUCAUCUACACCAUUUUAGGAGAUAGUCCCCAAGUCGUAAAGUCUGAAACUAGAUCCCAACACAAUUUUUUUCAGCAUUCACAGGAGAUCUCAUCCUAGGUUUGGGCUUGCUCCGUUCAGAUCAAAGCCCAGCUGCAAAGCUUGUCUUUCAUCCAAAACUUCCUCAAACCUUUGGAGUUUGGAGUUGUAGUUCUGGUUUAGCUCCAUUUCCGACUGGAAUUUUCAGGAGUUUUCCUACAUGCCUAACAUUUUGCUGCCAAUUAGACACCUUAGGUCUGUAGAAAUCUCCAUUUUGUGAUCACAAUUUAUUUCAUUAGACUCAUGGCCUUCUCUAUUUAGUGUUAACUCAACAAACAUGUCCAAAAAAAAGUCCUUGCUUGGUUUACCUCAUACAUUCUAAUAGUUGCUUCUAGGGUGGUGGGUUGUUUCCUCUAACAGAUUUAGCAUUGACAUAGGAUAACAGAUGAGAGUGGACCGCCAAGCCGUUCCAAGGCAAUGAUUUUUAUGUUUCUGCCACUGAGUAAAGCCAAAGUCUGAUCUAAGUAGGUGAGGGCUGAUGGUGCGCUGAAUGGCUCAGAACAUCGGUUGUCCAAAGGAGAUGACAGCAAUGUACAGCAGAGGAUAGCACUCUCCAGGCUCUCACAGGAGUUUUAAGAACAGUUUUUGCACUUAGCUCUAUGUUGGAAAGGGUUUUGGAAAACAUAUUGCUCUAGGAAAAAGAGUCUAACACGUAUGUUGUUAGUUAUCUUUUUUUGUUUUUUUGUAACAAAAUUAAAAUUGGAUGGGUUGUGCUCACUGAGCAGCACAGAAACAGCAGUUGGCUUGAAAUGAAAUGAGCUCAACUUGAACAUGCUCAGCUUCGGACACAUGUUAAGCAAUUUCCUGGUAAAAGUGUGAUAAAGAUUAUUUGUAUAAACAGUUGCUUCUCCAACCGUGUAGAAAGAAACACUAUCAAUAGCAAGGGGUGGCUGUGGUCACUGUUAAGCCGUCUCAGUGACCUCUGAUUACUAACCUAGCACUCCUCCACAGUGCUGUACGGUGCUCCUGUGCUGCUGUCAGCCUCCAAAACACACCAGCGGUUUCUGUUCAGAGUCUGUCUGAAACUUCACUGUGUUGGAUGAAGGACAUCUUCUUAUAUCUGAAUUUCAUUUCAGAGGCCUAAUAAUGACAGCCAGUUUUUAAGUGCUUGGAAAAGCAGCAAGAGCAGAAAGACUCUAUCAGACUUUAGAGAUCGGAACAGAGCCCUGGGAAAAUCUCAGUUGCAGCAGCACGUCACACCAAGCUACUGUGCAUGUAGGUUAGGCUGUGUAAGGAAGGAAAGAGGAAGAUACUCAUGCAGUCACUUCUCAGCUCUGUUACUGCUCUUACCAUGUGAGUAUAGGCAAGAGAUUUGAUUUAAACACAUAAAAAAAGGUUCUGCAAAGAACAAGCUAUUAAAUGUCCGUGUCACUGAACAGUAAGACACUGGGAAUACUUUCACAUUUAUGAAAGGGACAGGGAGCAUUUUUGAAGGGGUCAACCUCACAAUACAACAGUGCUGUGAGGCUCACAGAACUAUGCGGGACACUUUCCAGCAAUUGGGAAGUGGGUAGAGAAGUACCUGGAUAAAGUGAAGUCUGUUGUUACCAAGGUUAAAACUCUUUCCACAUAUCGGCUUUUCUAUAAGCAGAAGUUCCCUAGCACUAUGAAAUGCUUCAGGCUUCUAUCCAGAAGACAGCUUCAUUACAGUACGGGUACAAGUCCUUAAAUAAGGGAAGAAUUGAAUUCUGUAAGAAACCACGAUGGUGAAUUGUUCUCUCAAGAGAAACAGCAGCACGCCGCUGUGCACCCCUUCCAGAGCCGUCGGGACAGUCCUGUGGACAACUGCUGCAGAACCACUCCCAGCACCGCAGGGCAGAGGGAGAGGUGAGCCCCUUCCAGCCAGUGAAGCUUGUCCUUCUGCUGUACAUUGCUUUUUCUAGGAGAGUUACUGUCUCCACAUCUUCUGCCGCAAAAAGACUGUUCAAGCUGAUGGCAAUACUUCAGUAUGGGUAUGCAUACAAUUAAUGGAAAAAUCUUUCCCUACCUUAAAGUUGAAAGAAAGAAAAAAACCAAAUUUUAAAGUUCUGUGGGCUGCUGGAUAUUUGGGAACAAGCUGAUAUUUAGCUCAUUUUCUCUUUCACAAACCACACCUUGUCCUGCCUUUUACAUCGUAUGUCUUUUCUUUCCUGUACCCUACCUUCCAAAAGUGCUUUAAAACUCUUAGUAUGUAUCAUUUCUCUCAGUAAAGUAAGUUCAGGCAAAAUAAUCUGCAAUAGAAUUGUUUUAAUUAGGGAGAGAGUUGUUGGAGACACUGCCAAGGGAAAUCAGAGAAAAAGUCCCACCCCUUUUUAACUGGGUGGAAAGAUGUUCUUGGAGAGCUAUGUGCUGAGAAUUCAUGUGUAGCAUAAUGUCUUGGCACUGUACAAUAUUUUGUUUGAUUGCUGUGGCAGCAGACUUACCUACAAUGGUUUCACAGAAAGAUUAAAGCCAGGAAAGCAAUUUUUACUGGUGAGAACUAGAAAGAAAUGGCUCACCAGUGACAAUAAGCAGUUCUUUAAGGACUACCAGUUUAGACACACAGGUCAGCAGAAUUAGCAAGAGUUUUUUGCAACAGUGCCAUCUGGCCUUCUGCUGGAGGAGAAGAGUGCUGUACACAUAUGACUGGUUCAGAUGGAGCACUGCACAAAUGCGUUGUUUAAAACUGGCUGAUAUUUGUAAUGAGGUUAGUGUUCAAGCUCAAGCGUUUUUGCAACUUGGUUAGCACAGUUAAUUCCGCAGGUGACAGGAUCUCCCUCUGAGCUGUGGCAAAGAAUAAAAUAUGGGCAGUCAAAUUCAAAGGUGUCCAACCUUCUUCCUUGAACAAACCAUGCCUUUCUCAGAGGUGCUUGAAUUGUAAUCAGAACCAAAUAGAUUAAAUCAGGGUCUUAAGAGAAAGAUCUGUAGAUUUGUUUAUCUUUGCUAAUGUCAAUCUACAUUGGGCAACCAGGAUUCGGUGUAAAUCUUUCUGGAAAGAGUGAAGGCAUUAGUGCAUUAAGGAAGGUGCUGGUUUUAAAGCAGCUAAAGCAAAAUACUAAACCUUUUCCCAGGGACUGUAACUACUUUACUGAUUUUUACUCUGGGACACUUUAUAAUGUCUAAUGUCAGUGAUUCUAAACUACUGAAGCCUUACCAGGUAGCAAGAAAUCUCAUGCUGGGAGCAAAGCAAUUCAUAUUGCUCAGCUGAUCAGGAACGUUGUUUGCCUUCACUCUGAGCUACAGCCACUGGAUCCAUACACUCAUUUGUUGUGGCAUCUCUGAGAAAUUACUCCUCUGCGUUGCUGUUCCACAAAGGAAGGGAAAUAUGGAAGCAGCAAAUAUAGCAGGUUUCCCUGAUCUGAGGAAGUUGCAGAAGAAACAUUCUUUAUGAUGUCCCUAGGAGGAUCUGUUGGAUCAACCAGCUUAGUCCCAUAUUCCCCAGGAUUCCUCCCUUAUCCACUACAUUAGAAAAGACUGAGACAUGAUGAAGAUUUUUUAGGAAAUUUAAAGAAAUACAUAUCUUGUAUGCUUUGAAAGGGAACCGCAUUUCAUUCUCUAAGCAUUUUCCAUUAAAAUAUUUUAAGAAUAUUCAGAAUUUUCACAAGCUUUUAUCUUUCUGUUUUUACUGCCAUCCCUCUUCCCUCUGCACACCCCAUUUUGCCCCUAAGACAAUGGAAUGGAGGAAUACUCAGAAAAACACUAAUGUUUAAUUUCAGGCUGCCAUGAAGAAUCUCCAGGUUUGAAUAAAAAAGAAUAUAAUUUUCAAAAUAAUGCAACUUUCUCAUUAAAGAAAACAUGCAAUUGAUUUUUUCAUUAACUUCUUAGGUUUUUGAAGCACUGGCAAUAACUAUGGUGACUGUUAUUACUAUCCUGCUGUAAAGAACACAGCGGCUUUUGUGAUAGGGUUCAAAAGAUUAAUCAGAA